UACGUAGGGUGCAAGCGUUAAUCGGAAUUACUGGGCGUAAAGCGUGCGCAGGCGGUUAUGCAAGACAGAUGUGAAAUCCCCGGGCUCAACCUGGGAACUGCAUUUGUGACUGUAUAGCUAGAGUACGGUAGAGGGGGAUGGAAUUCCGCGUGUAGCAGUGAAAUGCGUAGAUAUGCGGAGGAACACCGAUGGCGAAGGCAGCCCCCUGGGAUAACACUGACGCUCAUGCACGAAAGCGUGGGGAGCAAACAGG
rnacentral:rRNA from 1 species